UUCAUCGGUAUGGGAUGGGGUCGCGUCCUAUCAGCUUGAUGGCGGGGUAACGGCCCACCAUGGCUUCGACGGGUAGCCGGCCUGAGAGGGCGACCGGCCACAUUGGGACUGAGAUACGGCCCAGACUCCUACGGGAGGCAGCAGUGGGGAAUAUUGCACAAUGGGCGCAAGCCUGAUGCAGCGACGCCGCGUGCGGGAUGACGGCCUUCGGGUUGUAAACCGCUUUUGACUGGGAGCAAGCCCUUCGGGGUGAGUGUACCUUUCGAAUAAGCACCGGCUAACUACGUGCCAGCAGCCGCGGUAAUACGUAGGGUGCAAGCGUUAUCCGGAAUUAUUGGGCGUAAAGGGCUCGUAGGCGGUUCGUCGCGUCCGGUGUGAAAGUCCAUCGCUUAACGGUGGAUCCGCGCCGGGUACGGGCGGG
rnacentral:rRNA from 1 species